GUGUCGUGAACUGGAGUGCAUUUUCUGCACAAUACAGACAGGAGUGACCCAGUGCCUACGGUGCAGUGAGAUACUGUAUUUAAAGACUGCACACCUAGCUGAUGGACGCUGAUCCUCCGACAGGCGCUUCAUGAGUGACCGCUGAAGAACACAACAUUAAAUAUGAUGAGAUUGAUAACAGAAUGAUCAGAAACAUCGAGACUUCUCCCAAAUAAACAUCCUCACCGUCCUUCAUGAUGAUCAUGAGCUCAAAGGGAAGGUUAAACACGUCUUUCACUGCACACCAGUAUUUCCCAGCAUCCUCUGCUCUCAGAUGUGUUUGAUGGUCUCGUGUUUCUCAGAGUAAUUACAGUGAACAGAUCAUCAUCAGCAGUAUUCACUCCACAUCUGUACGUCGCUUCAUCAGCUGCAGUUAAAUCACUGAUGAAAACCUUCAAGAGUCCUUUACUGGAAUCAUCAUACACGUGCACUUUAUUAUGAGCC